rfam:Ectocarpus siliculosus strain Ec 32, whole genome shotgun sequence assembly, chromosome LG04
GCGCUGCUGGUCUAGUUGGCUAUGAUUCUACCUUAGGGUGGUAGAGGUCGGGAGUUCGAGUCUCCCGUAGCGUC